AUUUCUCUCUACAAACAGUGUAUAUACAGUGUUAUACAUACCCACAUAUAUAUACCUCGUUGCUGGAGUUGGCCUCAGCCAACCAAAUCUGGGGUCCGGGUCCGGGCUGCUAGAUUUGCUCAGUCGCGUCGCGUGCAACGCGUGCCUCCAGAGCGCUCGCGUCCGUGACCAGACGAGGGCCCGCGGCUUUGGAGCCUUGCACGCGGAGGACGAGGUGUUGCAGUUCCAGUGGGAUUUUACUUUCGCCCGCGCGCGGGGGCGAAGUGGUACCGUGGGGCCCGAUGGCAGCUCCACAGGAAAAAGGGCAAAGGCCAAGGUGGGGUCAGCUAUCGGUAGCUUCCCAAGGAAGGAGCUACUGCGCUGUGGUAAAAUAGGACGUCUUACCCUGGUAAGGGUGCCCUUGCUUCCAUCGUCCGAGAGGCAUCACCCUCCAUGGAGUCGUUGUGGCCAGGCCCGCUGGCUCCUCUUCCCCUCCCUUGGGAAUCCCAGGAGAGUCAUGACACCUUUUCGCUCGGUGCAAGAGGCCAGUGAGACUGAGGCUAGAGUGAUUCGAGCUCAGCUCGCUGAAUCCGAUUGUCGCAUGGCUGAUAGGUGGGUUAGGUUGCAGAGUACGUCAAGGCCUGUGAUUCGUCCUUGA
rnacentral:misc_RNA from 1 species